rnacentral:rRNA from 1 species
UGAGGAAUAUUGGUCAAUGGGCGCAGGCCUGAACCAGCCAAGUAGCGUGAAGGAUGAAGGCUCUAUGGGUCGUAAACUUCUUUUAUAUGGGAAUAAAGUUGAGUAUGUAUACUUUUUUGUAUGUACCAUAUGAAUAAGGAUCGGCUAACUCCGUGCCAGCAGCCGCGGUAAUACGGAGGAUCCGAGCGUUAUCCGGAUUUAUUGGGUUUAAAGGGAGCGUAGGUGGAUUGUUAAGUCAGUUGUGAAAGUUUGCGGCUCAACCGUAAAAUUGCAGUUGAGACUGGCAGUCUUGAGUACAGUAGAGGUGGGCGGAAUUCGUGGUGUAGCGGUGAAAUGCUUAGAUAUCACGAAGAACUCCGAUUGCGAAGGCAGCUCACUAGACUGGUGACUGACACUGAGGCUCGAAAGUGUGGGUAUCAAACAGG